GGCUUACACAUGCAAGUCCGACAGCAGCACGGGUGCUUGCACUUGGUGGCGAGUGGCGAACGGGUGAGUAAUGCAUUGGAACGUACCGAGUAGUGGGGGAUAACUAGUCGAAAGAUUAGCUAAUACCGCAUACGACCUGAGGGUGAAAGCGGGGGACUCUUUGAGCCUCGCGCUAUUUGAGCGGCCAAUGUCUGAUUAGGUAGUUGGUGGGGUAAAGGCCUACCAAGCCGACGAUCAGUAGCGGGUCUGAGAGGAUGAUCCGCCAUACUGGGACUGAGACACGGCCCAGACUCCUACGGGAGGCAGCAGUGGGGAAUUUUGGACAAUGGGCGAAAGCCUGAUCCAGCCAUGCCGCGUGUCUGAAGAAGGCCUUCGGGUUGUAAAGGACUUUUGUCGGGGAAGAAAAGCGGAUUGCCAAUACCAGUUCGUGAUGACGGUCACCCGAAGAAUAAGCACCGGCUAACUACGUGCCAGCUACCGCUGUAAU
rnacentral:rRNA from 1 species